GAUGAACGCUGGCGGCGUGCUUAAGACAUGCAAGUCGAACGGCAGUCUUCGGACUGUAGUGGCGCACGGGUGAGUAACGCGUAACUGACCUACCCCAAAGUCGCGGAUAACGAUUCGAAAGAAUCGCUAAUACGUGAUGUGCUGUCAGAUCGUGUUCUGCCAGUAAAGAUUGAUUGCUUUGGGAUGGGGUUGCGUUCCAUCAGCUAGUUGGUGGGGUAAAGGCCCACCAAGGCGACGACGGAUAGCCGGCCUGAGAGGGUGGCCGGCCACAGGGGCACUGAGACACGGGUCCCACUCCUACGGGAGGCAGCAGUUAGGAAUCUUCCACAAUGGGCGAAAGCCUGAUGGAGCGACGCCGCGUGAGGGAUGAAGGUCUUCGGAUCGUAAACCUCUGAAUCAGGGACGAAAGACACUUCGGUGGGAUGACGGUACCUGAGUAAUAGCACCGGCUAACUCCGUGCCAGCCGCCGCCGUAACAC
rnacentral:rRNA from 1 species